rnacentral:lncRNA from 1 species
GGAAGGAUAGUCGCUGUAAAAUGUACAUGUCCAACUGGCAGGUGUCAUCUGACCUUGACCUCAUGCUCAUGGUUCAGUGGUCAUAGUUAAGUUUUUGUGUUUUGGUCUGUUUUUAUACGCCCGGGACGGGACGUAUUAUGGUAUACUGUUGUCCGUCCGUCCGUCUGUCCGUCCGUCGUCCACACUUCGGACAAUAACUCAAAACACUUUCACCAAUUUCCAAGAAACUUUGGUGAAUUGUUUAUAUCUAUUGACGUAAGCUCCCUUUCGUUUUUUUUUAAUUUCAGAUUUUAAGUUUUGGAUUUAUGGGGCUUUAUUCAUAAAAAAGGGGGGAUUUUCAACACUUCGGACAAUAACUCAAAAAGGCUUUCACCAAUGUCCAUGAAACUUUGGUGAAUUGUUUUUAUCUAUUGAUGUAAGCUCCCUUUCGUUUUUUUUUUAAUUUCAGAUUUUAAGUUUUGGAUUUAUGGGGCUUUAUUCAUAAAAAAAGGGGGAUUUUUUAACACUUCGGACAAUAACUCAAAAAGGCUUUCACCAAUGUCCAUGAAACUUUGGUGAAUUGUUUAUAUCUAUUGACGUAAGCUCCCUUUCGUUUUUUUUUAAUUUCAGAUUUUAAGUUUUGGAUUUAUGGGGCUUUAUUCAUAAAAAAAGGGGGAUUUUUAACACUUCGGACAAUAACUCAAAAAGGCUUUCACCAAUGUCCAUGAAACUUUGGUGAAUUGUUUAUAUCUAUUGAUGUAAGCUCCCUUUCAAUUUUUAUAAAUUUCAGAUUUUUCAUUUCCGUGUUAUGAAUUUUUAUGCUUAAAAAAGGGGGGAUUUUCCAAUUUUGGGACAAUACAUUUAAAGCAUAAAAGACAAGUUAAAAGAGCAACUGGCGUAUCAUCCGCUAAAGCGCAGCCCUUUAUUCUAAUCCUGUAUGCAAUUAUAGGUCUACUAUAUUUGGUGUAUGGAAUGAUUGUAAGGUUUACAUGUCUAGCUGGCAGGUGUCAUCUGACCUUGACUUCAUUUUCAUGGUUCAAAGGUCAAACUCGAGUUUUUCAGUUUUACUAAAUUUGAAAAAAAAUGGUAACAACUCAUGCAGCAUUGUAGCUGUUUGUCAAAUCACUUGGUUUUUGUUAUACUCGUGACGAAUUUCACAGAAUUU